rnacentral:snRNA from 1 species
GGAUGUGAGGGCCAUCUGGCUGUGAUAUCUGUCACACCACUGAUCGCUAUGGUUGAUACGGCAGAUCUGGCUGGCUAGGCUGGUGUCCCCUUCCUCCCUCACUGCUCCAUGUGCAUCCAUCCUGAAGCUGUGUGCUCGGUUGAAGAGGACGACCAUAACCAACAGAGGAGGACUGUUCUUUGGUCAAGGGUAUACGAGACAACAUAAAUGUUCUUAAAGCUUAACACUAUAAUAUUUCCAAAAAUUCACAUUAAAUUGCACACUCUUAAUGGCUUAUUUAAGAAUGGAAAUUGUAUCAAAAUGG